AUGGACUUUGACCUGCUGAUGAGCUCCAGCCCGGAGGCGCAGCUCGCGCUGAUGAACACCAUGCUUCAGCUGGAGCAGGCGCUCAACGACCAGUCGAUGAUGAUGGGGGAGACGUCGCCGCCGAUAUCGCCCGUGCAGACCCCCUCGACGAGGCCAUCCACUACGUCAAGUUCCUCAAGUCCCAGGUGCAGUCGCUCGAGCUCGCCGCCGCCGCCACCGGCGCGGCCGCCCACCGUGCCGCUGCCUUCGCCUACCCCGCCCUUCAGCACGCGCCGUGGUAGCCCAUCCUCAUCAGCACGGCUCGUCGACGCUUCAGCUACCAUGAUAGUGAUUCAAUAA
rnacentral:rRNA from 1 species